GUGGGGAAUCUUCCGCAAUGGACGAAAGUCUGACGGAGCAACGCCGCGUGAGUGAUGAAGGUCUUCGGAUUGUAAAGCUCUGUUAAUCGGGACGAAAGAGCCUAGUGUGAAUAAUGCUAGGAAGUGACGGUACCGGAAUAGAAAGCCACGGCUAACUACGUGCCAGCAGCCGCGGUAAUACGUAGGUGGCAAGCGUUGUCCGGAAUUAUUGGGCGUAAAGCGCGCGCAGGCGGAUCUGCCAGUCUGUCUUAAAAGUUCGGGGCUUAACCCCGUGAUGGGAUGGAAACUACAGAUCUAGAGUAUCGGAGAGGAAAGUGGAAUUCCUAGUGUAGCGGUGAAAUGCGUAGUUAUUAGGAAGAACACCAGUGGCGAAGGCGACUUUCUGGACGAAAACUGACGCUGAGGCGCGAAAGCCAGGGGAGCGAACGGGAUUAGAAACCCGAGUAGUCC
rnacentral:rRNA from 1 species